rnacentral:rRNA from 1 species
UGGGGAAUAUUGCACAAUGGGCGCAAGCCUGAUGCAGCAACGCCGCGUGAGGGACGACGGCCUUCGGGUUGUAAACCUCUUUUGGCAGGGAAGAAGCGAAAGUGACGGUACCUGCAGAAAAAGCACCGGCUAACUACGUGCCAGCAGCCGCGGUGAUACGUAGGGUGCAAGCGUUGUCCGGCAUUAUUGGGCGUAAAGAGCUCGUAGGCGGUUUGUCGCGUCUGCUGUGAAAACCCGAGGCUCAACCUCGGGCCUGCAGUGGGUACGGGCAAACUAGAGUGCGGUAGGGGAGAUUGGAAUUCCUGGGGUAGCGGUGGAAUGCGCAGAUAUCAGGAGGAACACCGAUGGCGAAGGCAGAUCUCUGAGCCGUAACUGACGCUGAGGAGCGAA